rnacentral:misc_RNA from 1 species
AUGUAAACACUAGGAGACGGUGGACGCUAAAAGUCGGACACCUGUUACAUCCAGGAAAAGACAACCAUGGGUGAAAAAAGUGAGGCAUACCACAACUUCAUGGCCAACUACAGGCUCCACAGCGACACUGGCCUCAGUAGUGGCGACAUCGGGGUGGUGGUGGCUUACUUCAUCGUCAUCAUCAUUGUCGGUGUGUUUGCCAUGUACAGGGCUAACCGACAGACGGUAGGCGGAUAUUUUUUGGCGGGAAGAUCUAUGCUUUGGUUACCCGUCGGAGCCUCGUUGUUCGUGAGUAACAUUGGUACGGAACAUUUCAUUGGUCUAGCCGGAUCAGGGGCGGGGAGCGGAAUAAGCGUUGGUGCUUGGGAAUUCAAUGCAAUUCUGCUGCUUCAAUUACUGGGAUGGAUUUUCAUACCAGUCUAUAUCGCAUGUGGGACCUACACGAUGCCCCAGUACCUGUCCAAGAGGUUCGGGGGGACACGCCUCCGGGUUUACUUUGCCGUCCUGUCCCUGGUUCUCUACAUCUUCACCAAAUGUUCGGGUGACCUGUUCACGGGAGCGCUGUUCAUCCAGCAGAGCUUGAAGUGGGACCUGUACCUCAGUAUAGUCAUCCUAGUGUCAAUCACAGGGCUGAUGACCAUCACAGGCGGACUCACAGCCGUCAUCUACACGGACACCAUACAAGCCUUCCUGAUGGUCGGGGGAGGUCUUACUCUCAUGGGAUUAGCUUUUAAGGACGUAGGUGGGUACGAUGGUUUGGUGAAAGGAUACCAGACGGCCAUGACUAACGAAACCUAUAGAAUCCCUAACACAACCUGCCACCUACCGGACAAAAAUGCCUUCCGGAUGUUGAGGGAAGCAGAUGAUGACUAUAUGCCUUGGGCGGGAUUCUUGCUGGGUCAAACCCCUGGUUCUAUCUGGUAUUGGUGCGCUGAUCAGGUAAUAGUCGCUAGAUUGGUAAGAACCUGAUUUCGCCUCAACAAAAUAAACUGAAAAGAAGAACUCCCAAUAUUUACCUGUGAUAGAAACACUGCUUGUUCAGAUGUGGUUCCUGAAUGAGCAGAAUAAGUUCAUAGAUGGCGCUUUCAAAUACUUUAUCGUUUUAAACCGUGUCAACUUGUUAUCUUUCCUUUGUACAUAGGUAAUUGUUCAGAGGUUGCUUGCAGCCAAGAGCAUCUCUCACGCAAAAGGAGCUACAGUCAUGGCCGGGUUCAUCAAAAUCCUCCCUCUGUUUAUGAUGGUCAUGCCUGGAAUGAUCAGCAGAAUCAAAUAUCCCGGUAUGAAAAAUAUCAAAGAAAACCCACACACAAACAGUCUUGUGAAAUGAUAUUGCAAAAUUAUGUUUUUCAUAGGUUUCAUAAGUUUCCAAAUAAUAUUUUAGAAAACAAGACCAAAUGAAAACAAUUUGGCCUUACUUUACAUGUUCUUGGAUUUUUUCAAGAUGAAGUAGCUUGUGUUGACAAAGACAUUUGUUACGAAAUUUGCCAAUCCUACGCCGGAUGUACCAACAUUGCUUAUCCCAGACUGGUCCUCGGGAUCAUGCCAGAAGGUUCAACAUGAAUUGUCUGACUUCUUAUAUUUCUGUUACACAUCCGUUCAGCCAACGAAAAUAGUUUUUUUUUCUUUUUGUAGGUUUGCGUGGCCUUAUGAUGGCUGUGAUGAUUGCUGCAUUGAUGAGUGACCUUGACUCCAUCUUUAACAGCGCCUCUACACUCUUCACUAUCGACAUUUACAAGAGAGCCCGAAAAAACGCUGGCGUGCAGGAACUUAUGAUAGUCGGAAGGAUCUUUAUAGUGGUGAUGAUUGGGAUCUCCAUUGCCUGGGUCCCCAUACUCAAGGAGACACAGGGUGGACAGGUGUUUAUAUAUAUACAGGAGAUAACCAACUACCUCGCCCCUCCAUUCGCUGCUGUUUUCUUAUUGGCCGUUUUGGUACCUAUGGUCAACGAGAAGGUACUCUGCGUAGAAUGACGUGUAGGGUUGUACAUGUAUACACAGUACAUAGAGUUACCUUGAUCUACCUUGACCCACUAGUGGGGAUCGUUAUAUUGGCCGUAUAUAAAAUCUGGUAUAUUUACAAUAGGGUGCCUUCUGGUCUUUGAUGAUUGGCUUACUGACAGGAGUAACCCGGAUGAUUCUUGUGUAUAUUUAUAACGACAGUAGCGGCGACUGUCUCACCCCAGACACCCGGCCCGCUAUACUGAAGAACUUCCAUUACAUGUACUUUGCCUUACUUAUCACUCUCAUGACGGCUGUGUCUGCAAUUGUUAUCAGUUACUUUACAGGCAGACCUACAGAGGAACAGCUAUUCCGGACGACGUAUUGGACGAGACAUGCAGAACAGAAAACAGGAAAGGAGAUCCGCGAUGUAGACGGUUUUGACAACAUAGCAAUGUCUACGUCAGAUCUGGAUGAAUCCUCAGUCGAAAAUGGAACAAAUAAGAUGCCUGGUACAUCUUAUAAUCAUACCGUAGAGCAGUCGGGUCUAAAGAAAUUCAGAGAUCCGAACCUGGAUAAGAAUCAGAAGGAGGAUGAAGACGAGAGUUCAUGUAAAGCGAUACUUUUGAAAUAUCUAUGUGGAGCUGGAAAGCACGACGAAAACGAGGACGAGAAACUGAAAGAACACAUGGCCAAAGUGGCGGAACUCAAGCAGAACAAGAUGGCCGCCCUCUGUCUGAACAUCGGACUGGUUGUUAUUCUUUUGAUCGGGACAUUCUUGUACUUUUUCUGGUCUUUUUGGAGAUAUGAACCGGCGUAGAAUUUCUCAUGACGUAAUAUCAUAGGUUAUGAAUUCUUUAUUAGUAUAGAUAAAUGUAUUUCGAUACUGUAUGGUAAUUUGUGAAAAGUGAAAAAAAUUUCUUAGUGUGUGCUUUUUGUAAACAUAAUACUUUUUAAUUUUCAAAUUAUUAUAAGUAAGUAAUGUUUUGUAUAACGUAGAAGAUUUUGAUCUCCAAGCAGUUUCGGGCAGCUUUCUCUUCAUUCACAUUGCUCUAUACAUUUACCAUCUAGUGAUUGAUAUUGAGCGGAUUGAAUUUCUGUACAUGUAUGUCUGUAUAUAACCGUGUGAACAAUUUAGAUGUCGUCAUUACUGUCAGUGUUGGAAUUCUGGACAUAACUGAUGGAGGAUAUCGUAUUGAUGAAUAAUCCUAAUUGAAUCAUUAUAUUCAUUCGCUCUUAAGAACUUUGUUAUUUAAAAGUUCUAAAUUUAUCUUAUAUCCUUGAAAAAAUUACAUCUGUUAUGCAUACGGUCACUAAUCUAAGGAGUAGGUUUUAUUAAUAUUUUUUUGGCGUAUUUUUAACUCACCUUUGCGGUUAAACUUUAUUCAAAGUCAAUUUAAUUAUUUUUUAACUUACUUCUAAGUAUUAGUUCGCCUAUCUUUUUCUUUGAUUCGGUUUUACGAAUGAAGAAUAGAAUGUUUACUGUAUUAUUACCUACAUCUGUUAUGUUCAUUGAUAUAUAAAAUAUACUUAUAUAC